rnacentral:rRNA from 1 species
AUGGUUGCCCGUGCGGGUAGCUGCGCCAGCCCAUCGGCCUAUGGCCCCCUCCCCCUCCCAGCCGUCAACCCCUAUCGCCCCGCCAUCGGACCGCUCGACAUGGACCUCACCUGGAUCUGGGGGAGAUCUACCUGCGUCCUCCGGUCCUUCCUAGUUAUCCCUUUCCCGACUGCCGAUCAUUCCUCUUCGGGCGAGAAGGAUGGCUGGUCCAUUUACCACUCUCUGAAAAACCGGCGUGCCCGCUCCGAUCUGCCGGCUCCUCGAGCUCAACGGCGUGCUCCCCGGUGCCUGGACUUCAAGACAAGUGCAGGCAGAGAGGUCUUCUUAAGGCACUUCAAAGGACUCUGUUUUCGCUGCCUCAGCUCAGAGCACCGUCACAUUGACUGUAGAGAUCCGCUCUGUUGCAUCUUGUGCAAGCAGCCUGGUCAUUUUGGUAGAGAGUGCCACCUUAAUCCUCGCAACCGCCCCUCCGGUGGCCCGGUGCAGCCUAGAGUGCCAGUGCAUGACCGCCUUCGCUUUCCUCCUCCACCUCCUGCUCCGGUCCACGCUGCUGCUAUGGAGACGGCACGCCACUUCCACAGCGACCCUUCGCGCCGCCCUUGGGAGAGCUACAAGGUCAUCGUCUCCUCUCCGGCCAUGGAGCAGCUGGAAAUCCGUCCUCGGUCACCACGUGGUGCUCCUCUCCACCGUCGACAAGUCGCACCCCACCAACCCCAUGGCCGUCGGCAAGGAUCUGGAAGCGCAGCUGCGCAUCCCACCUCAUAUGCUGCUGUCACCUACCACCACCCGGAAGACUUUUUCGUCCGCUUCAACCUCCCCGCGCACCACGACCUGGCAGUUCGCCAGGGCGCGGUCAUCGUCGACGACGGCGUGCUCCGGAUCAAGCCAUGGCAUGAUGAUGAUCACAUGACCCACGACAACUUCAAGCUCCAUGUGUGUGUCGUCAUCGAGGACCUGCUGAUGCAUAUGGUCACUGGAGGGUGCGGAGGAGGCCCUCGUGACCGGUGCAGGGUUGACCGCCUCGACAGUGUCACCUUCGAGCAAGGCCAGACGAAGCAUUUCGGGGUGUGGGUUUGGGUGUGGGACGUAUCCCACAUCCCGACCAAGUGCACGUUCUGGAUCGUCAAGCAAGGGGUUGGAAGAACCGAGGAUAUGUACGGCUUCCCCUCCCCCAGCCGCAACGUGGCGCCACCGCCGUGGAGCGGCAUCCCCUCCUCCGAGUCAGACAGCGCCAACAGACCGUUCCCUGCUAUCUACCCCGACACCUGGAUGAUGAAGGUUGAAGAUGGCCAAGCUCCACCAGACCAGGGCUGUGACAAACACCCUGGGCCUGUGGUGGUUUCCGCCGGCUGUCACGGCCUGCCUUUUGGCGGCCACAGGCGGGGCCCCGACGGCGAGGAUGAAGGCGGUCGGCGAUCAUGGAAAGAAACCAUGUUCGGCCGGGGGCGCACAUCCCACAACAAAGGGCAGACUGAGCAACCCCAACUACGUCAAUACAGCUGCACGCCGACAAGUUGCCAUGGGCGUCACCAGCGCCAGCACACUUCCAAGGGCAAGCAGGCCCAAGGUGGGCGCACCCUCCUCCUCCCCCCGCCACUCAGUCCGCUACCGAGGUGGCCCCCAGGCGCUCAUCUCCAGACCCGGUGGCGGCGUUUUUUGAAGACCAAGCCGCGCUUCCCCCUCUGGCGGCCGUCCCCGAUGCCUCAGAAGACAUCAACAAGGACGCUGCGGCAGUGGUGGUGGAGCCGCUGUGCUUUACAAACAUCCCAGGUGGCAGCAAGGCUCCACAUGAUGCUGCAGUCUCCACCUAGGCGUACUAUGCCCCCACUCCGACCUCCUCUAUAG